rnacentral:rRNA from 1 species
ACGCUGGCGGCACGCCUAACACAUGCAAGUCGAACGAAGUAGCAAUACUUAGUGGCAGACGGGUGAGUAACAUGUGGGUAUCUACCCUUUGGCCUGGAAUAACACGAGGAAACUUGUGCUAAUACCGGAUAAGUCUUUACGGAGAAAGCUUUAUGCACCAAUGGAUGAGCCUGCACUUGAUUAGUUUGUUGGUAGGGUAAUGGCCUACCAAGACUUUUAUCAAUAGCUGAUUUGAGAGGAUGAUCAGCCACAUUGGGACUGAGACACGGCCCAAACUCCUACGGGAGGCAGCAGUGGGGAAUCUUGCACAAUGGAGGAAACUCUGAUGCAGCGAUGCCGCGUGAGUGAAGAAGGCCUUUGGGUUGUAAAGCUCUUUCGUCGGGGAAGAAAAUGACUGUACCCGAAUAAGAAGGUCCGGCUAACUUCGUGCCAGCAGCCGCGGUAAUACGAAGGGACCUAGCGUAGUUCGGAAUUACUGGGCUUAAAGAGUUCGUAGGUGGUUGAAAAAGUUGGUGGUGAAAUCCCAGAGCUUAACUCUGGAACUGCCAUCAAAACUUUUCAGCUAGAGUUUGAUAGAGGAAAGCAGAAUUUCUAGUGUAGAGGUGAAAUUCGUAGAUAUUAGAAAGAAUACCAAUUGCGAAGGCAGCUUUCUGGAUCAAUACUGACACUGAGGAACGAAAGCAUGGGUAGCGAAGAGGAUUAGAUACCCUCGUAGUCCAUGCCGUAAACGAUGUGUGUUAGACGUUGGAAAUUUAUUUUCAGUGUCGCAGUGAAAGCGAUAAACACACCGCCUGGGGAG